UUAUUUCAGAUCUAUUUUUCACUUCACACUCACAUAACCGCUUAAUCAGUAUCGCUCCAUCAAAAUCGCUUAAUCAAAAUCGCUUAUUCGUCAGAAUCAUUCCACCGCUUUCACCCUCACAUCUUCAUCAUAAACGUUUUUCAUUACCAUCGUACUUAUCAAAUUCUUCAUCACAAUUGAAUUCCAUUCAAAUGGCUUUGAGAUGGAAUUUGUAUCUCUAUUGAUUUCUCCACACGAAUUUGUGAAUCUCAAUCUCCUGUAUCCAUCUCUCGCGAAUCGUUCAUAUAUGUGAUUUCUCUGUCCACGACGCUCCGACUCUCCAGAGGAGUGUGAAAAGACGACUCGUGAAUAUGCUCGUCUUUAGAAUAAGAGUUUGUGGCUGCACUUCAGAGUGUUCUCGCUGCAAUCCCUAAAUUACAGAAGGUACAAUUUUGACCCAGACAACGGUCAUAUGGAGGUUUCUAUUUGUUUAGAACUGUGAUUUGGUGGUUGUUUUGUCGAAAGAAAUUAUCUAAGGAAUGAAAUUCAAUGGAAAGCGGCCGUAGGACUUUGCUGAUGUUGAAGCUACUUAGAGGGGCUUGGAUGAAGCUAUGUCGACGUAGAAAUUAUGGAUGGUCCAUGUUAGAUUGUGGUGGCAUUGACGAUGUUACCCUUAUAAUCCUGUGAUUCGAACCUUGAAGAUAUUGAGUUGAAUGAUUGUUAUUAUUAUUUACCUUUUUUCUUUCAAAUCUUUUUGUUAGCUACACAUGUUUGACAUGGCUUUGCUAGUGGCAGUCCAAAGAGAGAUCCAAAAGCCAUCAUAAUUGAUUAGUAUAAAAUGAUAUGAAGUGAGAAUUGUGGUGUUUAAGUUAGGCACCUAGACCGAACUUAACUUCAAGAUUUUUUGUUUGUUUUGUUGUGGAUGAUUGAAGUAACACAUUUUUAAUUGUGUUUAUAUUUUUUAUUUUCCCUUUUCAAUAAUAGUCUCACAACUAAAGUAUUGUAGUAUCUAACAAUCAAAUGUCUAAGCCACAACUAAAAAGUCUCACAACGGAAUAUAGUCUUUAUUCUUUAAUCUAUGUGUAUAUGAUAUGUUUCAGAUUUUCUUCAUUCUAGUUCUCUUUCUACGAUAAGGGUGUGCUUUGUAACUUUUUUAUAUGUUUGUAUUGAUUUAUAGUUUCUCGUGAAUCUGUGGUAUGUAGUUCUUUUUCCGUAUCUAUUUUGUCUUAUCUCUUUGUUUAGGGAUUUGAUUUUCUGAUUUAAUGCUAUGUUGAUUCUAUUUUGCGGUAUGCAGUUCCUUUUCCUUAUUAACUUGUCUUGCUGAUUUUGAGCUGUUUCACCAUCUUCUUCACUGAUAGAGCACAUAUUUGAUUCAUGGAGUUUCACUUCCUCGAUCGAUUCAACAUCAAUCGAAAAAUGAAAAUUGGAGCAGGUUUUGGGGGUCAAGUUAUUCUUCUGCUAACUCACACAAUUAAGCAUGAAAAGGCAAGU